rnacentral:rRNA from 1 species
UACGUAGGGGGGCAAGCGUUGUCCGGAUUUAUUGGGCGUAAAGAGCGUGUAGGCGGCUUUACAGGUCCGUUGUGAAAACUCGAGGCUCAACCUCGAGACGCCGGUGGAAACCGUAAAGCUAGAGUCCGGAAGAGGAGAGUGGAAUUCCUGGUGUAGCGGUGAAAUGCGCAGAUAUCAGGAGGAACACCUAUUGCGAAGGCAGCUCGCUGGGACGUAACUGACGCUGAGACGCGAAAGCGUGGGGAGCAAACAGG